rnacentral:rRNA from 1 species
UGCCAGCCGCCGCGGUAAUACGGAGGGGGCAAGCGUUAUUCGGAAUUACUGGGCGUAAAGGGCGUCUAGGCUGCUUGGCAAGUCAAAGGUGAAAGCCCUCGGCUCAACCGAGGAACUGCCUUUGAAACUGCUUGGCUCGAGUCUGGGAGGGGGUAGCGGAAUUCCCGGAGUAGCGGUGAAAUGCGUAGAUAUCGGGAGGAACACCGGUGGCGAAGGCGGCUACCUGGACCAGUACUGACGCUGAAGCGCGAAAGCGUGGGGAGCAAACAGGAUUAGAUA